rnacentral:rRNA from 12 species
UCCGAAAACUUUUCGGUCUUAAUGUACAUCGGUUCUCGUCCGAUCACCGAAAUUAAGCAGCGUCGGGCGCGGUUAGUACUUAGAUGGGGGACCGCUUGGGAACACCGCGUGUUGUUGGCU